rnacentral:lncRNA from 10 species
UCCUGGAAGAAAGUGAUAUAAAAUAAGGAUUUCAAGAGUAGAGGAUCAAUGAAAGAUAAAAGAGAUAAAAGAUCAAAGAGAUUUUAGAAAGGAGUUAUCAAAGAUCACACUUGUCUAUUUCACAGCAUUGACCUGAUCAGAUUCUUAGUUGAUCCUAUCUGUCCUUGUUACUGUCUGAGCACUCUAACGUUUGAGUCCCUUAAACCAUGUCAUUGACUUUAUCUGAGAUUUUUUUUUUGAGCCAUACUGUGUGCUAAGUGCUAUUCUGGUGAUGAAAAUACAAUAUUGAACAGGAUAUUCAGUAUCCAUGCUCUCAUAGAACUUGUAGUACAAUGAUGAUCACAUAUAAACCACCAGCAGAUUUAAUGCCAUCCUUAGACUGCAGACAUUGGUGUCUGUUUACAUACUGUAUUGCUUGAAACUUUUUAAAUCAACUUUCUUUCUCUUUCUCCAUAUUUCAGCCUAAUCAUCCCUUCUUUGGAGAGCAAAUUCCUGGCCACACUGCUGAAAGUGGAUUCCUUCCUAUUAGUUUUUAUUUCACAUCUUUGUUUCUUUUGUCACAUUAUCAUAGAAUGAAAUAAUUUCUUUUAAAUUAUGAAAUGUUAUAUAUAUAUAUACUCACAAAUAUAGAGAGCAAGAUAAAAGACACUCGUACCUUACAUGCACCCAACUUUAAUAAAAUUAAACACUUGCCAAGUUUGUUUAAGGUCAUUUCUUCUUAAGAAAUGAAAGAUGGCAAUGGUAGUGCUCUUUUAAAAUUUGUCUAGAAGCUUUUCCAGUUUUUACCAGAUCCACCAACCCAAAAAAAGAAAUAAAUCAAGACAAAUAUGGUUGGAGUUUCCUUUGUAAUUCUCUCCAAUCUCAUUUCCCUUCCAAUGUUGUGGGAUUAGGAAGUUGAUAUGUAUUCUUCAAGAUGUGUUUAUGUUUUUAAUCCAUAUUUAUGUAAAUAAUAUAUAGCAUAAUUUUGUGUUUUGUAUUUUAUAUGUAUAAGUGGUAUGCACAUAUUGUAAAAUAUGUCAUCACUAUUAUGGUUUUAAGACUUAUUAGCAUUGAUAAUGAGGAUAAAAUUUAUUAAUUUUAAUGACCAUCUAUACGACAUUCUAUUGUAUGAAUGUGGCCGAACCUGUUACUCUAUUCCCCUAGUGCUGAAUUUUGGAUUCUUCAUAGUUUUCAACAUUACAAAUAAUACUGCUACAAAUACGGUAUGUCUACUUAAGCAUAUUUGCAAGACUUUCUCUAGGGUAUAUAGCAGAGAUUGGGUUAUAGGCUAUAUAUGUAUGUACAUCUUGAAAUCUAUCAGAUUGGUAAAUUGCUCUUCAGAGUAUUACAUGGAUUUGAAUACCCAUCUGCAACAGUGGAUAUUUUCAGUUUAUUAUAUAUUUACCAUCGUUUUACUCUGCUAGGCAUUUUACUUUUUAUCAAUCUGAUGAGUGAAGCAGUAUCUUGCCUUAAUUUUCAUUAUUAAUGACUUUACACAUCUUUUCAUAUGUUUAUGGACCAUUUGAAUUCUACCAUCAGUUUGAUAUCUCAACACAAUAUGUAAAGGGUCUAUCAGGAACAUCUCCUUGCCCCAGUUUCAUGAGCCUUGGACUCUAGACGCUGCAAUUUUAUUUACUAAAGGCUUUAAAAUGUGCUUCUAAAUCUCUCAGCCAAAUAUUCUGGAGCUGUUAAAUACCCUAAGGGGAAAGUGCCCUUAAACACAGAAUUGCCCCUUUGGGUUGCUAUGUUGCUUCUGAACUUUGGAUUCAUAAUUCUUCACAGUCUUUGCUUUUCAAUACCUCCAGUGAAUAUAUAUAUAACCAACCAUUCCUAAUUUAAGUGGGAAGUUUGGUCUCAAUUACCUUGUAUACCAUUACUGGAAAGGAAAGUCUUAAGUGUGUAUUUUUAUUUUAUAUAAAGAGUAUUGGAAAAAGACCUUGCCUGUUUCUUAUUCUUUUUAGUUAUUGCUAGUUUUAAAACAUCCUCCCAUGUUUAUAUGUUUAUAUGUAUGUAUUUUAUUAAUUGCAUUUUAUUACAGUAUAGCCCUCUUUGGUGAUCAUCCAAGAGGUUUAAUGUUUCCACUCUCCUAAUGAUAAAAACAGGAUUGUCUCUAUUGUCCUGCCAUGAGGAAAUAAUGCUUUGAUAAAUAUCUUUUUACAUAUACCCUUUGAGACAGGUAAAUCCUCUUGCAAGACGCAUACACAGGAGUGAGAUUGUUGUAUGAGAGGCAUGUACUUAAGUGACUAAAUAGUGACAAAUAACUCUCCAGAAUGGUUGCAUCACACCACAAUUCUACCAGUAGUGCAUGAGGAUUUUCGUAUCCCCAUAUUGCCACCAAUACUCUAGCUUUUACAUUUUUCUUCCAGUAUUCCUUUAAAUAAGCUUUCUGCUCAUUUCCCUCUUUUCUCCUUCUAGGACUCCCAUAAUAUGUGUAUUUGCAUGCUUGAUGGUAUUCCAUAGGUCCCUUAUACUUUCUUCACUCUUCUUUAAUUUUUUUUCUUUUUUCACCUUUAAUUAACUAUUUACAUGACCUGUCUUCAAGUUACUAAUUCUUUCUUUUGUGUGACUGUGUUUGCUGUUGAAGCUCUCCAUUAAAAUAUUCAGUUCUGUUCUUAUAUAAUUUUUGUGUGUUUUUUCUUAAUGGUUUCUAUUUCUUUAUUAAACUUCUCAUUUUGUUCAUACAUUGUUUUUCUAAUUUUAUUUAGUUGUCUAUCUGUGUUUUCUUGCAUCUUACUGAGCAUCUUUAAGAUGAUUAUUUUGAAUUUUGGGGGGAAAUUUGUAGAUCUCCAUUUGGGGUGGAGAUUAGUUACUGGAACUUCAUUGGUUUCCUUUGGUGGUAUUAUGUUUGCCUGGUUCAUCAUUAUCUGUGUAACUUUGCAUUGGUUUCUAUGCAUCUGAAGGAGCAAACACCUUUUCCCAUCUUUAUAGACUGGUUUUACAGGUAAAGAUCCUCAGGAUCCUCCUGUUGGGUUCCCAGGAUUGACAAGAUUGCUUCCAGAAUUGUGGUCAACUGGAGGUAGAGCCAGGUCACAUGGUUUUGCUGGGUCAACAGUGAGGUCUGUGGUUGGCAGGCCUGUUAACUGGGGCUCUAGUAGGCUUAGAUUCUGUCUGUUCCCUGGGUAAAUUGGACUGCCUCCUAGACCUUGGUCAGUAGGUCUGGCACUGGGAUGAGGGUCUACUUUAGAGUCCACAGAUUGUAGGCUAGUUACGAGAUAUGUGGAUGAAUGUGGCUUCCUCUGGGUCCUUAGGAGGGCUCCUACUGGGUCACUGGGUAGGUUCCUAGGCAGACAGUGCUGGUCCAGAUUGCAGCUGAGAGAAAAGAGAACCAAGUAACAGGGCUGCCUCAGGGCCUACAGCUGAGACCCAGGUCUUCAGGCCUGCCUCUGGGUUCAUGAAUGGGCAUGUGUCCCACUGGGUCCCUGAGUGGGCAGGCCUGCUCUCAAAUCACAGAUGAGAGGGCCUGGAGCCAGUAUACAGUGCUGUUUUAAGAUCCACAGUGGGACCAAGUUCAGCCUACCAGGGCACUUGUGAGCAUUUCUCCCAUUAGGUCCCUGUGAGGGCAAGACUGCUCUUAGACUGCAUCAUAGAGGAGCUGGUACCAGAUUUCAAGGCCAUUUUAGGAUUCACUGUAUAAGAAAGAAAGUAGCCAAUCAUCUUUUCUAGUUUUUUUAUGUUAGUUAUUUUCUUUCAUUAAAUGUUAUAACUAAUAUGUAUAGUUGAGGCCAUGGUAGAAACAGUAGUGACAAAAAACAUAACUGUCUAUGCAAGAUAAUAGGACAAAUGUUUUCCAAAUGAGGAAAAGAGUAGUUUUGUCUUAAAAUAUCUGAUUUUUCCAGAAUGUGAAAUGGGACAGUGAAAGAGAAAAUCUGAAUGAAUGUGCAAUAAAGUUUGCAGGAAAGGAAAUUAUUUCCUUCAUUUAUAACAUUGAAUCUGAAAAAAAAAACCAGUAAAUUUUUUCCAUAGUUGGCUAUUUUUUACAAUUUUUAAAUGGACACAAAUUCCCAUUACAUAACAUUUAUUACAUUACAGUGUACAAUUCAGUGGCUGUUAGUAUGCUCAUGGUGUUAUGUAAUUAUUACCACUAUGAAAUUAUGGAACAUUUCCAUCACCCCCAAAAGAAACUACAUACAUGUUAGUAGUCACUUCCUAUUUUCAACAAGUAGAAAUACUAAUUCGUGCAUUCUCUGCAAACACUAAUCUACUUUAUAUUUUUAUGAAUUUACCUAUUUGGACAUUUCAUAUUAAUAGAAUCAUAAUAUAUGUGGCCUAUGUUGUGUGGCUUCUUUCACAUAGCGUGAUGUUUUCAAAGUUCUUCCAUGUUGUAGCAUAUAUAUAGUACUUCAUUCCUUUACAUGAGUGAACGAUAUUGAACAAUAUUCCAAUGUAUGGACAUACCACAUUUUGUUUAUCCAUUCCUCAGUUGAUAGACAUUUGAGUUAUUCUCAUUUAUUAGCUAUUGUGAAUAAUUCUGCUAUAAAUAUUUGUAUACAAGUGUUUGCAUGAGCAUAUGAUUUCAUUUUUUGGGGGAAUAUAUACAGGAGUGAAUCUGUGGGUCAUAUGGUAGCUCAGUGUUUAACUUUUUGCAGAACUGCCAGACUAUUUUUCACAGUGGCUGAAACAUUUUAAAUUCCCACCAGCAGUGUAUGAACAUCCCAUUUUCUCCACAUUUUUGGCAACAUUUGUUAUUCUGUCUAUAUUUAAUUUUUAGAAUGAUAGCCAUAGUGGAUAUAAAGAGGUAUCUCUUUAUGGUUUUAAUUUGUAUUUUCCUAGUGAAUAAUGAUUUUGAGCAUAUUCUCAUGUGCUUACUGACCAUUUAUGUAUCAUCUUUAGAGGAAUGUCUGUUGAAUUCCUUUGCCCAUCUUUUAAUUCAAUUGUUUAUCUUUUUAUUGUUGAAUUGUAAGAGUUCUUUACAUAUUUUGGAUCUUUGAUCUUUAUCAGAUAUAUAAUUUGCAAAUAUUUACUCCUGUUCUGUGGGUUGUCUCUUCAUGCAUGAUAGCGUCCUGAGACACAUAGAAGUUUUUAGUUUUAAUAAAAUACAAUUUAAAACAUUUUUUGGUUCAUUGUGCUUCUGAUGUCAUAUUUAAUAAAUUAUUGCCUAAUCCAAGGUCCCAAGGAUUUAUACCUAUGUCUCCUCCUAGGAGUUUUAUUAUUUUAGCUCUUACAUUUGGGUUUGUAAUCGAUUUGAGUUAAUUUUUUGUAUAUAAUGUGUGUUAGGGGUCCAACUCCAAUCUUUCUUUUGCAUAUGGGUAUUUGUUUUUUUCAUCAUUUAUGUUGAAAAUAUUAUCCUUUCCCCAUUAAAUGUUCUUGGCACCCUUUUCAAAAAUAAACUGACCAAAAAUGUGUGGAUUUAUUUAUGGACUCUCAAUGUUCUUCCAUUGAUCUAUAUAUCUAUCCUUAUGCUAGUACCAUGCUGUCUUGAGAUUGCUACAGCUUGUGUGGUAAGUUUCAAAAUUAGAAAGUAGAAAAGCUCUUAGUUCUUUUUUUCCCUUCAACAUUGUUGUGACUAAUAUGAAUCUUUAUAAUAUCCAAAUGAAUCUAAGAAUCAGUCUGUCCUUUCUGUAUAAAAGACGGUCGUAAUUUUGAUGGAAUUGUGUUGAAUCUGUACAUCAAUUUGGGGACUAUCUUUGUUAUCUUUAUCCGAUUAAGUCUUCCAACUCGUGAGCAUGGAGGUAUUUUAGAGUUCCUUACUCUGCCUUUUGUGCUAAUGUCACCUUUGGCUUAAUUUUAAUUGGCUUAUUAAUUUAAAGGUUUAUAAAAGAUUACUGCCAAAUAUAUUUAUACAGAAAUAAUUUUACUUUCUUUUUUUUAAAUGACAUAUUGUUUUUAGAGUGCUUAACAAAGGUUAUGAGAUUAUUACUUACCUUUUGUUGCAAUGCGUCCGUCCAGAUAGCAGUUAUUUGAUGACUCACUAGAAUAUUUCUCUCUGCUUUGUGUUGACUUUACAGUUAUGUUACCUUUUCUAAUGCUAAUUUUAAAAUAUUUGCUUGUCAUUUUGAUUACAUAAGUGUAACUGAGUAUUACUUCUUGGGCAUAUAAUGCUAUUUAAUGGAGUAACCAGUGGCAACUCUUGCUUUUGCCUUCCAAAAAUAGAAUCUUAAAAAAAAAUUUUUAAGUCAGUUUUAAAAUCAGGUAUUUGAUUUUUUCCAACUGAGUUGUAGGGGUUCCUUAUAU